rnacentral:snoRNA from 1 species
CCCCUCUCUGGGCUGCAUCUGGAGAGUUUCCAGUACUCUACCAGUCUCGACUAUGGGAGGGAGACAAGCAGAGGCCUACCCAUUCCAUUCCUAGCUUCGGCAGUGGCUAGCAAAUGGAAGGCAACCUGCUACAAAU